CAGCGCCGCGGUAAUACGUAGGUGGCAAGCGUUGUCCGGAAUUAUUGGGCGUAAAGGGCUCGCAGGCGGUUUCUUAAGUCUGAUGUGAAAGCCCCCGGCUCAACCGGGGAGGGUCAUUGGAAACUGGGAAACUUGAGUGCAGAAGAGGAGAGUGGAAUUCCACGUGUAGCGGUGAAAUGCGUAGAGAUGUGGAGGAACUCCAGUGGCGAAGGCGACUCUCUGGUCUGUAACUGACGCUGAGGAGCGAAAGCGUGGGGAGCGAACAGGAUUAGAUACCCCCGUAGUCCCUGUCUCUUAUACA
rnacentral:rRNA from 1 species